UACGAAGGGGGCUAGCGUUGCUCGGAAUCACUGGGCGUAAAGGGUGCGUAGGCGGGUUUUUAAGUCAGGGGUGAAAUCCUGGAGCUCAACUCCAGAACUGCCUUUGAUACUGAAGAUCUUGAGUUCGGGAGAGGUGAGUGGAACUGCGAGUGUAGAGGUGAAAUUCGUAGAUAUUCGCAAGAACACCAGUGGCGAAGGCGGCUCACUGGCCCGAUACUGACGCUGAGGUGACGAAGCGGUGGGAGCAAACAGGG
rnacentral:rRNA from 1 species